GAUGAACGCUGGCGGCGUGCCUAAUACAUGCAAGUCGAGCGAACAGAUGAGGAGCUUGCUCCUCUGACGUUAGCGGCGGACGGGUGAGUAACACGUGGAUAACCUAUCUAUAAGACUGGGAUAACUUCGGGAAACCGGAGCUAAUACCGGAUAAUAUAUUGAACCGCAUGGUUCAAUAGUGAAAGACGGUUUUGCUGUCACUUAUAGAUGGAUCCGCGCCGCAUUAGCUAGUUGGUAAGGUAACGGCUUACCAAGGCGACGAUGCGUAGCCGACCUGAGAGGGUGAUCGGCCACACUGGAACUGAGACACGGUCCAGACUCCUACGGGAGGCAGCAGUAGGGAAUCUUCCGCAAUGGGCGAAAGCCUGACGGAGCAACGCCGCGUGAGUGAUGAAGGUCUUCGGAUCGUAAAACUCUGUUAUUAGGGAAGAACAAAUGUGUAAGUAACUAUGCACGUCUUGACGGUACCUAAUCAGAAAGCCACGGCUAACUACGUG
rnacentral:rRNA from 1 species